AUUGAACGCUGGCGGCAGGCCUAACACAUGCAAGUCGAGCGGAUGAAGGGAGCUUGCUCCUGGAUUCAGCGGCGGACGGGUGAGUAAUGCCUAGGAAUCUGCCUGGUAGUGGGGGAUAACGUCCGGAAACGGGCGCUAAUACCGCAUACGUCCUGAGGGAGAAAGUGGGGGAUCUUCGGACCUCACGCUAUCAGAUGAGCCUAGGUCGGAUUAGCUAGUUGGUGGGGUAAAGGCCUACCAAGGCGACGAUCCGUAACUGGUCUGAGAGGAUGAUCAGUCACACUGGAACUGAGACACGGUCCAGACUCCUACGGGAGGCAGCAGUGGGGAAUAUUGGACAAUGGGCGAAAGCCUGCUCCAGCCAUGCCGCGUGUGUGAAGAAGGUCUUCGGAUUGUAAAGAACUUUCAGUUGGGAGGAAGGGCAGUAAGUUAAUACCUUGCUGUUUUGACGUUACCAACAGAAUAAGCACCGGCUAACUUCGUG
rnacentral:rRNA from 1 species